rnacentral:lncRNA from 1 species
CCUCUCCCCCGCCUCCAUAUGUUUAUAAGUCACCUCCUCCUCCUUCUCCAUCACCACCUCCUCCAUAUGUGUAUACGUCUCCACCCCCACCAUCACCAUCUCCACCACCACCAUAUGUAUAUAAGUCCCCACCACCUCCAUCACCGUCUCCACCACCACCAUAUGUGUAUAAGUCUCCACCACCUCCAUUGCCAUCUCCACCUCCACCAUAUUACUACAAGUCUCCUCCUCCGCCAUCACCUUCACCACCACCUCCAUAUUACUACAAGUCUCCACCUCCACCUUCACCAUCACCUCCACCACCAUACUAUUACAAAUCUCCACCACCGCCCUCACCAUCACCACCUCCACCAUAUUAUUAUAAGUCUCCACCACCACCUUCUCCUUCACCUCCUCCACCAUACUAUUACAAAUCUCCACCACCUCCUUCACCUUCUCCUCCACCACCUUAUUACUACAAGUCUCCACCUCCUCCAUCACCAUCACCACCACCACCAUACUAUUACAAGUCUCCUCCUCCACCAUCUCCAUCACCACCCCCACCUUACUACUACAAGUCUCCACCACCGCCGGUUAAAUCACCUCCACCCCCAUACUAUUACAGUUCUCCACCACCACCAGUAAAGUCUCCCCCUCCACCAUAUUACUACUACUCACCACCACCACCAAAGAAAUCACCUCCCCCAACAUAUCAUUACACUUCUCCACCACCACCUGUUAAGUCAUCACCUCCUCCAUACUACUACUACUCACCACCACCACCCAAGAAAUCACCUCCUCCACCAUAUCACUACAGUUCCCCACCACCACCAGUUAAGUCACCUCCAACUCCAUACUAUUACAAGUCACCACCACCACCACCAAAGAAGUCUUCUCCACCACCACACUACUAUACUUCACCACCACCGACUCAUUACUAUCCUCCACAUUAUCAAUUAGUAGUUAAAGUUGUCGGAAAAGUCUAUUGUUUUAGAUGCUAUGAUUGGAAGUACCCAGAAAUGUCUCACGGCAAGAAACACCUUAAAGGUACCAUAGUCUUUAUAGUUUAUAAUAUACUACAUUCACAUUCUUUAUUUUCUUUUAAUUUAUCAUAAAAAAUUUCCUAACUAUAAAUCUUUUCUUUUUUUGUUGCUUUGUUUAUAAAGCUCUUAUCAGAACUCAUAUAUAAAUGUUUGUAUGUUAAUUUGGACCUUUGAUCCAUUUCUGUUUUCGAAAUGUGAAAUUAAAAUUAAAAUUUUAAAACGUCAAGAAGUUUUACAAGGCAACAACUAUAAAUAUAAUUGUGACUAUAGAAUAAAAUAUAUUGAAAAUGGAAAUAGUUAGUUCUUUCUUGAAAAUAGAGGUAUUAAUUUAUCCUCACAUUGCAGACAGGUUGCUACAUUAACAUGCAAUUUAUUUCCCUUAUUAGAAAAAUAAAUUUUGACCAUGUGACGAAAAGGGUUUUAUUACAAAUUAUGGUUUAAGUAAUUUUUUUUUACAUGGGUUAGGUGCUGUUGUUGAAGUGACUUGCAAGGCUGGUGACAAGGAAAUUGUGAGUUAUGGUACCACUAAGAACAAUGGCAAAUUUAGUAUCACAGUUGAAGGAUUUGAAUAUCACAAAUAUGGAGCAAAGGCUUGCAACGCUAAACUCCACAAUGCUCCAAAGGAUUCAAAGUGUAGCAUUCCUACAAACCUUCAUUGGGGAAUUAAGGGUGCUAACCUCAAAGUGAAGUCAAAGAAUAAAUAUGAAGUUGUCCUCUAUGCAAAACCAUUUGCAUAUGGCUCUAAGACACCUUAUGCAGAAUGCCAAAAGCCAAAGCCUACACCUGCACCAUACUACAAUAAAUCUCCUCCACCUCCAUCACCAAUUUAUGUUUACAAGUCACCACCUCCUCCAUCACCAAAGUAUGUGUACAAGUCACCACCUCCCCCAACCCCGACAUACGUUUACAAGUCUCCACCACCACCUGCUUACUAUUACAAAUCUCCACCUCCACCAUCACCAAAACCUGCACCGGUAUACUAUUACAAAUCUCCACCUCCACCAUCACCAAAACCUGCACCGGUAUACUAUUACAAAUCUCCACCUCCACCAUCACCAAAACCUGCACCGGUAUACUAUUACAAAUCUCCACCUCCACCAUCACCAAAACCUGCACCGGUAUACUAUUACAAAUCUCCACCUCCACCAUCACCAAAACCUGCACCGGUAUACUAUUACAAAUCUCCACCUCCACCAUCACCAAAACCUGCACCGGUAUACUAUUACAAAUCUCCACCUCCACCAUCACCAAAACCUGCACCGGUAUACUAUUACAAAUCUCCACCUCCACCAUCACCAAAACCUGCACCGGUAUACUAUUACAAAUCUCCACCUCCACCAUCACCAAAACCUGCACCGGUAUACUAUUACAAAUCUCCACCUCCACCAUCACCAAAACCUGCACCGGUAUACUAUUACAAAUCUCCACCUCCACCAUCACCAAAACCUGCACCGGUAUACUAUUACAAAUCUCCACCUCCACCAUCACCAAAACCUGCACCGGUAUACUAUUACAAAUCUCCACCUCCACCAUCACCAAAACCUGCACCGGUAUACUAUUACAAAUCUCCACCUCCACCAUCACCAAAACCUGCACCGGUAUACUAUUACAAAUCUCCACCUCCACCAUCACCAAAACCUGCACCGGUAUACUAUUACAAAUCUCCACCUCCACCAUCACCAAAACCUGCACCGGUAUACUAUUACAAAUCUCCACCUCCACCAUCACCAAAACCUGCACCGGUAUACUAUUACAAAUCUCCACCUCCACCAUCACCAAAACCUGCACCGGUAUACUAUUACAAAUCUCCACCUCCACCAUCACCAAAACCUGCACCGGUAUACUAUUACAAAUCUCCACCUCCACCAUCACCAAAACCUGCACCGGUAUACUAUUACAAAUCUCCACCUCCACCAUCACCAAAACCUGCACCGGUAUACUAUUACAAAUCUCCACCUCCACCAUCACCAAAACCUGCACCGGUAUACUAUUACAAAUCUCCACCUCCACCAUCACCAAAACCUGCACCGGUAUACUAUUACAAAUCUCCACCUCCACCAUCACCAAAACCUGCACCGGUAUACUAUUACAAAUCUCCACCUCCACCAUCACCAAAACCUGCACCGGUAUACUAUUACAAAUCUCCACCUCCACCAUCACCAAAACCUGCACCGGUAUACUAUUACAAAUCUCCACCUCCACCAUCACCAAAACCUGCACCGGUAUACUAUUACAAAUCUCCACCUCCACCAUCACCAAAACCUGCACCGGUAUACUAUUACAAAUCUCCACCUCCACCAUCACCAAAACCUGCACCGGUAUACUAUUACAAAUCUCCACCUCCACCAUCACCAAAACCUGCACCGGUAUACUAUUACAAAUCUCCACCUCCACCAUCACCAAAACCUGCACCGGUAUACUAUUACAAAUCUCCACCUCCACCAUCACCAAAACCUGCACCGGUAUACUAUUACAAAUCUCCACCUCCACCAUCACCAAAACCUGCACCGGUAUACUAUUACAAAUCUCCACCUCCACNAAUAGAUUUAAACGUCAAUGGUACAAAGCAAUUAAUUUAUGGAAUAAGAUAUUCAAUUUUUCAAUUGAAGGAUUGACUCUUCAUGGCAUGGAUCAAUUGACUUCUACUUCUCUUUUGGCCUUAUUGCACAUUGUUCUCUUAGUGCGUUCCCAUGAACGUAUCUAAACUUUGAUGUUUCCUAGAGUUUGUUUCUUUGUAAUUUAUUUUUAUAUCGAGGAUAUUGUCCUCUUUUGAUUCAUUUCUAUUAAUUAUUGUAUGUUUUUCUUGUAAUACCUUGUGUACUUUGUGCACAAAUCAAUAAGAAGAUCAAUUUAAUGAUAUUCACUUUCUUUUUUUUUUCUUUUUCUCUAUCUUUUAGCUCUGAACAAAUGUUACAAUUAAAUUAGUCUUCUCCAAAUAUAUAUAAACAAAUUAGAAAUGAAAUAACCUACAAUUAGUUAUUUUAAGAUCUUUAAUAUUGUCUUUAUAUAGAAGUAGUUAAAGAUAUGUUUACGUAAAACACACCUCUGUGUUUUCACAAUGCACUGGGGUACUUAGUACUUACCAUAAUUUUAAAAGAUGAACAUAUAGAAGGGAAGAAAAAAAUCAUUAAGAAAAAAAUCAUUUUCCUGUCUUCUUUUUGAAUGUGGCAAUAGAAUUAUAACAGGAUUGAAUACACUAAUGGUCCAUAUCAAAAACGAUGAGUGUUUACCAUUGAUUUAUGCAAGUCAGGAGGCCAGCUAACUCAUAAAAUACUCGCCCGAAGAGUACAUCACAAGACUAAAACCCAAAGGAAUUGACAAGACCUGCAUAAGGUGGAGCAUGCAACUUAAUUUGACACAACACGUAACAUGUAGUUAUCUAUUAGGUAACCUAGUAGUUAAAGAGUGAUGAAAUUAAAAUUCAAUUUUAGUAUGUGCCUUCUCAAAUUAAAAAGGAAAAAAUGCCCAACUGAAAACUUUUCCAAAAAUGUCAUAAAGGUCAAAAUUUUCAAUUCUUUUAUAUUUUUAAAAUGGGUAAAAUAUUAUAAUAUGUCUGACAUCAGAUAACUCUAUCCAUCAAAGUUUGGACAAAAGAGAAAAGUCACUCAUAUUUCCGCAACCACUAAAUAUUGAGACCUCAUGAUUCUCAUUCCAACACUAAUAAUUAUGUAAAAGUGUAAUACAAAAAAGGAAUUAAAUUCUAUGGCGAUCACAAUAACAACUUUUUAUUGUAUUAAUACAGUUGACUGAUAAAGUAAGUUAUUACUCAAUCUUUCAAGUUCACUUAUACAGACUUGUUACGAAGAGUGGCAUACUUAUUGUAGCUUGAUGUAACUUUAUAAUGUUAAAAUAUAUAUACACAUUGUUAGUACGCAGAACUUAAACUCAAAAGAAAAUAAAGAAAACUGAAACCACGGAUUUGUACUUUUUGAAUUAGUAGUAGUGCAUGCCAAGUCUCGGCAGGAAACCUCUUUUAUAAUCUUAUGGGGUACUAAUCGAAAAUGACAGAAAAUAAUUUUUAAUUACUCAUUUCAUGAACUGAUGCUUCUGAAAUAAAUAAUGAAAAAAUAUCAGAAUAAAAAAUAAUUGUCAAACUUAUUUUUAAAUAUCAUAACAUACUCACAGAUUUGGUGAAACAAUUUGAUGUCAAAGAAAAUGUUGGUAUUCUAAGUUUCUAUAACAUCAUUUCUAGUUGGCAACAAAUAAUUUGAAGCCAGCAACAAUCAGCCUACAUACUUAUAAUUUAUAAACCAUCUAUCCAUCACAGUAAAAAGGCUUAUUUGUGCUUUUAAUUAUCGACGUUAUUGCUCGAGACAAUUAGAGUUUCAAAAAGAAAAUAAAACAUUUUGAUCGUGUAUCUGAUAAGUGGCGGAACCACGGAUCCUAAUAGGGGGAUUCAGAAGAGAACAAAAGUAUGACACUUAGGUUUCAAACAUGUUGAGCAUGUUGCAUAGCGCGUUUUGGUAAAAGCCAGUAUGAGAUUCAGACGAUGACAUAGUAACGCAACUUAGCAUUUACCAGUGAUAAACUCCAUCAGUAUCAGUCUGUUUUUUACCAGCCAGCUCGUGUCCACGACAUAAAUAUACAUGUCCUGACCUGCUACAGAUCAACUGGCAAGUAAAGCAGGGGAAGAAAGAUUAAUUAAUUUGGCUAAGUCAGUCAAAAGUUGUUGUAGUUAUUUGUAAAUGCAGCACACUACAUAAUUCAUUAUCACCGAAUAUGCGUACUAGUUUAUUUUAUUCUAUUUAUUUAUUUUUUAAAUUAUGAAUCUUAGGGUGAAACAGAUAUAUGCUUAUCAGCCCACACCCUGGUUAUUGAAAAUAAAAUGGCAAGAGAGUGGAAAUAUUAAAAAAUAGCACUUUCUUUCCCUUAAGUCACUACAUGGCAUGUGUUUUUGUGUGCACAUUCAUAUGUAGUGUGUUCUCAUAGCAGGUAACAAACUACUUGAUUAAAAAAUAUAAUGUGGAAAUAUUCAAAGUGAUACAGAGAUGGACUUUAAUAAAUAAGAUGAGAACUUGUAGAUCCAGAAGUUGAGAGCUAUUAAUAUCUUUUUUUACACUUUAAUUAUCAAUCAGAGAUAUUGAAUUGGUCCUUCAGACAGCUCUUUACCAACAACUAUUUUAUCAAGAAAUUUUACUAUAUAUACAUUGGCCAAUGAAUCCAAAAAAGGCAUCACUUCUCAACUGAAAAACUAAAAGUUCUCUCCUUUCUUCUUCCCCUAACUAGCUAAACACAUUUUGGAGGGUAGGAGGUGUAACAUUCCGGCGAUAUGAGGCUUCAUAGUGGCGGCCCUACCAAGGGUCAUCGGUAUUUGCCACAAAUCUUAGUGGCAUUGGCCAUAUUGGCUGUUGCUAAUGUAGUGUCGGCAGACCCUUAUGUAUACUCUUCUCCACCACCUCCAACAUAUGAGUAUAAGUCGCCUCCUCCUCCUUCUCCUUCUCCACCACCACCUUAUGUGUACAAAUCACCACCUCCUCCCUCACCCUCUCCCCCGCCUCCAUAUGUUUAUAAGUCACCUCCUCCUCCUUCUCCAUCACCACCUCCUCCAUAUGUGUAUACGUCUCCACCCCCACCAUCACCAUCUCCACCACCACCAUAUGUAUAUAAGUCCCCACCACCUCCAUCACCAUCUCCACCACCACCAUAUGUGUAUAAGUCUCCACCACCUCCAUCGCCAUCUCAACCUCCACCAUAUUACUACAAGUCUCCUCCUCCGCAAUCACCUUCACCACCACCUCCAUAUUACUACAAGUCUCCACCUCCACCUUCACCAUCACCUCCACCACCAUACUAUUACAAAUCUCCACCACCGCCCUCACCAUCACCACCUCCACCAUAUUAUUAUAAGUCUCCACCACCACCUUCUCCACCACCACCUUCUCCUUCACCUCCUCCACCAUACUAUUACAAAUCUCCACCACCUCCUUCACCUUCUCCUCCACCACCUUAUUACUACAAGUCUCCACCUCCUCCAUCACCAUCACCACCACCACCAUACUAUUACAAGUCUCCUCCUCCACCAUCUCCAUCACCACCCCCACCUUACUACUACANGUAUUUGCCACAAAUCUUAGUGGCAUUGGCCAUAUUGGCUGUUGCUAAUGUAGUGUCGGCAGACCCUUAUGUAUACUCUUCUCCACCACCUCCAACAUAUGAGUAUAAGUCGCCUCCUCCUCCUUCUCCUUCUCCACCACCACCUUAUGUGUACAAAUCACCACCUCCUCCCUCACCCUCUCCCCCGCCUCCAUAUGUUUAUAAGUCACCUCCUCCUCCUUCUCCAUCACCACCUCCUCCAUAUGUGUAUACGUCUCCACCCCCACCAUCACCAUCUCCACCACCACCAUAUGUAUAUAAGUCCCCACCACCUCCAUCACCGUCUCCACCACCACCAUAUGUGUAUAAGUCUCCACCACCUCCAUUGCCAUCUCCACCUCCACCAUAUUACUACAAGUCUCCUCCUCCGCCAUCACCUUCACCACCACCUCCAUAUUACUACAAGUCUCCACCUCCACCUUCACCAUCACCUCCACCACCAUACUAUUACAAAUCUCCACCACCGCCCUCACCAUCACCACCUCCACCAUAUUAUUAUAAGUCUCCACCACCACCUUCUCCACCACCACCUUCUCCUUCACCUCCUCCACCAUACUAUUACAAAUCUCCACCACCUCCUUCACCUUCUCCUCCACCACCUUAUUACUACAAGUCUCCACCUCCUCCAUCACCAUCACCACCACCACCAUACUAUUACAAGUCUCCUCCUCCACCAUCUCCAUCACCACCCCCACCUUACUACUACAAGUCUCCACCACCGCCGGUUAAAUCACCUCCUCCCCCAUACUAUUACAGUUCUCCACCACCACCAGUAAAGUCUCCCCCUCCACCAUAUUACUACUCCUCACCACCACCACCAAAGAAAUCACCUCCCCCAACAUAUCAUUACACUUCUCCACCACCACCUGUUAAGUCAUCACCUCCUCCAUACUACUACUCCUCACCACCACCACCCAAGAAAUCACCUCCUCCACCAUAUCACUACAGUUCCCCACCACCACCAGUUAAGUCACCUCCAACUCCAUACUAUUACAAGUCACCACCACCACACUACUAUACUUCACCACCACCGACUCAUUACUAUCCUACACAUCAUCAAUUUGUAGUUAAAGUUGUCGGAAAAGUCUAUUGUUUUAGAUGCUAUGAUUGGAAGUACCCAGAAAUGUCUCACGGCAAGAAACACCUUAAAGGUAUCAUAGUCUUUAUAGUUUAUAAUAUACUACAUUCACAUUCUUUAUUUUCUUUUAAUCUAUAAUAAAAAAUUUCCUAACUAUAAAUCUUUUCUUUUUUUGUUGCUUUGUUUAUAAAGCUCUUAUCAGAACUCAUACAUAAAUGUUUGUAUGUUAAUUUGGACCUCUGAUCCAUUUCUGUUUUCGAAAUGUGAAAUUAAAAUCAAAAUUUUAAAACGUCAAGAAGUUUUACAAGGCAACAACUAUAAAUAUAAUAGUGACUAUAGAAUAAAAUAUAUUGAAAAUGGAAGUAGUUAGUUCUUUCUAGAAAAUAGAGGUAUUAAUUUAUCCUCACAUUGCAGACAAGUUGCUACAUUAACGUGCAAUUUAUUUCCCUUAUUAGAAAAAUAAAUUUGACCAUGUGAUGAAAAGGGUUUUAUUACAAAUUAUGGAUUAAUUAAUUUUUUUUACAUGGGUUAGGUGCUGUUGUUGAAGUGACUUGCAAGGCUGGUGACAAGAAAAUUGUGAGUUAUGGUACCACUAAGAACAAUGGCAAAUUUAGUAUCACAGUUGAAGGAUUUGAAUAUCACAAAUAUGGAGCAAAGGCUUGCAACGCUAAACUCCACAAUGCUCCAAAGGAUUCAAAGUGUAGCAUUCCUACAAACCUUCAUUGGGGAAUUAAGGGUGCUAACCUCAAAGUGAAGUCAAAGAAUAAAUAUGAAGUUGUCCUCUAUGCAAAACCAUUUGCAUAUGGCUCGAAGACACCUUAUGCAGAAUGCCAAAAGCCAAAGCCUACACCUGCACCAUACUACAAUAAAUCUCCUCCACCUCCAUCACCAAUUUAUGUUUAUAAGUCACCACCUCCUCCAUCACCAAAGUAUGUGUACAAGUCACCACCUCCCCCAACCCCAACAUACGUUUACAAGUCUCCACCACCACCUGCUUACUAUUACAAAUCUCCACCUCCACCAUCACCAAAACCUGCACCGGUAUAUUAUUACAAAUCUCCACCUCCACCAUCACCAAAACCUGCACCGGUAUACUAUUACAAAUCUCCACCUCCACCAUCACCAAAACCUGCACCAGUAUACUAUUAUAAAUCACCACCACCACCAUCACCAAAACCUGCACCUGUGUAUUAUUACAAAUCACCACCACCACCAUCACCUUCUCCCCCACCUCCUUACUACUAUAAGUUUCCUCCACCACCAUCACCAAAACCUGCACCUUUAUAUUACUACAAAUCACCACCACCACCAUCACCUUCUCCCCCACCUCCGUACUACUAUAAGUCUCCUCCGCCACCAUCACCAUCUCCUCCUCCACCAUACUAUUACAAGUCUCCACCACCACCAUCGCCAUCACCCCCACCCCCUUACUACUAUAAGUCCCCUACUCCACCAUCUCCAUCACCACCCCCACCCUACUACUACAAGUCUCCACCACCACCAUCACCAUCUCCUCCACCUCCCUCGCCUUCUCCCCCUCCACCAUACUACUACAAGUCACCACCACCACCAUCGCCAUCUCCUCCACCACCUUACUACUACAAGUCACCUCCUCCACCGUCACCUUCUCCACCACCUCCCUACUACUACAAGUCACCACCACCACCUUCACCUUCUCCACCACCUCCCUACUACUACAGGUCACCACCACCACCAUCACCAUCUCCUCCACCGCCCUACUACUACAAGUCUCCUCCUCCACCAUCACCUUCACCACCACCACCCUACCACUACAAGUCGCCUCCACCACCAUCACCUUCUCCACCACCUCCCUACUACUAUCACUCUCCACCUCCACCAGUAAAGUCUCCUCCUCCUCCCUAUUACUACAACUCACCUCCUCCACCAAUGAAAUCACCUCCUCCACCAGCGUACAUUUACGCUUCACCACCACCUCCGAUCCACUACUAAGAGUUUUUAAAAGUGCAGCCGUUCUCCACAAUCAAUCAAGUGAGUAGUUGUUUAAAUUAUAAAUUUUUCAUAUAAAAUUCAACCUUUUCUACUACUUUCCUUUGAAUUAAGGCUCUAAUCUUCUAUUUGGUUAUUUCUUUUCAGAUUUUAGUUUGAAACACAAAAUAAAUGANNNNNNNNNNNNNNNNNNNNNNNNNNNNNNNNNNNNNNNNNNNNNNNNNNNNNNNNNNNNNNNNNNNNNNNNNNNNNNNNNNNNNNNNNNNNNNNNNNNNNNNNNNNNNNNNNNNNNNNNNNNNNNNNNNNNNNNNNNNNNNNNNNNNNNNNNNNNNNNNNNNNNNNNNNNNNNNNNNNNNNNNNNNNNNNNNNNNNNNNNNNNNNNNNNNNNNNNNNNNNNNNNNNNNNNNNNNNNNNNNNNNNNNNNNNNNNNNNNNNNNNNNNNNNNNNNNNNNNNNNNNNNNNNNNNNNNNNNNNNNNNNNNNNNNNNNNNNNNNNNNNNNNNNNNNNNNNNNNNNNNNNNNNNNNNNNNNNNNNNNNNNNNNNNNNNNNNNNNNNNNNNNNNNNNNNNNNNNNNNNNNNNNNNNNNNNNNNNNNNNNNNNNNNNNNNNNNNNNNNNNNNNNNNNNNNNNNNNNNNNNNNNNNNNNNNNNNNNNNNNNNNNNNNNNNNNNNNNNNNNNNNNNNNNNNNNNNNNNNNNNNNNNNNNNNNNNNNNNNNNNNNNNNNNNNNNNNNNNNNNNNNNNNNNNNNNNNNNNNNNNNNNNNNNNNNNNNNNNNNNNNNNNNNNNNNNNNNNNNNNNNNNNNNNNNNNNNNNNNNNNNNNNNNNNNNNNNNNNNNNNNNNNNNNNNNNNNNNNNNNNNNNNNNNNNNNNNNNNNNNNNNNNNNNNNNNNNNNNNNNNNNNNNNNNNUAAAUUUUUCAUAUAAAAUUCAACCUUUUCUACUACUUUCCUUUGAAUUAAGGCUCUAAUCUUCUAUUUGGUUAUUUCUUUUCAGAUUUUAGUUUGAAACACAAAAUAAAUGAUGGCUUUUUGAGUAAUAGAUUUAAACGUCAAUGGUACAAAGCAAUUAAUUUAUGGAAUAAGAUAUUCAAUUUUUCAAUUGAAGGAUUGACUCUUCAUGGCAUGGAUCAAUUGACUUCUACUUCUCUUUUGGCCUUCUUGCACAUUGUUCUCUUAGUGCGUUCCCAUGAACGUAUCUAAACUUUGAUGUUUCCUAGAGUUUGUUUCUUUGUAAUUUAUUUUUAUAUCGAGGAUAUUGUCCUCUUUUGAUUCAUUUCUAUUAAUUAUUGUAUGUUUUUCUUGUAAUACCUUUGUGUACUUUGUGCACAAAUCAAUAAGAAGAUCAAUUUAAUGAUAUUCACUUUCUUCUUUUUUUCUUUUUCUCUAUCUUUUAGCUCUGAACAAAUGUUACAAUUAAAUUAGUCUUCUCCAAAUAUAUAUAAACAAAUUAGAAAUGAAAUAACCUACAAUUAGUUAUUUUAAGAUCUUUAAUAUUGUCAUUAUAUAGAAGUAGUUAAAGAUAUGUUUACGUAAAACACACCUCUGUGUUUUCACAAUGCACUGAGGUAAUUUCAAAAAGAUGAACAUAUAGAAGGGAAGAAAAAACCGUUUUCCUGUCUUCUUUUUGAAUGUGGCAACAGAAUUAUGACAGGAUUGAAUACACUAAUGGCCCAUGUCAAAAACGAUGAGUGCUUACCAUUGAUUUAUGCAAGUCAGGAGGCCAGUUAACUCGUAAAAUACUCGCCCGAAGAGUACAUCACAAGACCAAAACCCAAAGGAAUUGACAAGAUCUGCAUAAGGUGGAGCAUGCAGCUUAAUUUGUCACAACACGUGACAUGUAAUUAUCUAUUAGGUAACCUAGUAGUUGAAGAGUAAUGAAGUUGAAAUUCAAUUUUAGUAUGUGCCUUCUCAAAUUAAAGAGGAAAAAUGUUUAACUGAAAUCUUUUACAUAAAUGUCACCAAGGUCAAAAUUUUCAAUUCUUUUAUAUUUUUAAAGUGGCUAAAAUAUUAUUAUAUGUCUGCAAAAUUGGACAGACCACGUCUAAAUGGAGGCUUGCCUCUGGAGUAUUGUGUGAUAAGAAGAUUCCACCGAAACUCAAAGGUAAGUUUUACAGGAUGGUGGUUAGACCUUCCUUGUUGUAUGGGGCGGAGUGUUGGCCAAUCAAAAAACUCACAUGUUCAGAAGAUGCAGGUCGCGGAGAUGAGAAUGUUGAAAUGGAUGUGUGGCCAUACCAGGAGUGAUAAGAUUAGGAAUGAGACCAUUCGGGAGAAGCUAGAGGUGGCCCCUGUGGCUGACAAGAUGAGGGAAGCGAGACUGCGAUGGUUUGUACAUGUGCAGAGGAGGAGCACCAAUGCCCCUGUUCGAAGGUGCGAGAGGUUGAAUUUAGGAGUUACUCGGAGGGGUAGAGGUAGACCGAAGAAGUAUUGGGGGGACGUGAUCAGGCAAGAUAUGGUGAAACUUACCGAGAACAUGACCUUAGAUAGCAAGGAGUGGAGGUCGCGAAUUAGAGUAAUAGGUUAAUAGGUUAGUAGGGUUAGGUUAAUAGGUUGUUGCCCGGCUAUGGAGUAUAGUAGGGUAUUAGGCCAGUCAUGCCUUUAUAUCUUGUGUUGCCAUUAUUCACCUUGUAUAUGUCAAUUUUAUUGUAUUUGCAUACCAUCAUGUAUUUUUAGCACGAAUCGCUCUGUGUAUUUACUUUUCUUUCUUCCUCGACUUUCAUAUCUAGUUUAUUCUGCUUAUGGAUUUUUGAGACGAGGGUUUCCAGGAAACAGCUUCUCUACCUCUAUGAGGUAGCGAUAAGGUCUGCGUACAUUCUACCCUCCCCAGACCCCACUUGUGGGAUCCCACUUGUGGGAUUCCACUGGGUAUGUUGUUGUUGUAGUUGAUCAAAAUUAACAACUCAUUAACGAAUUUUAAGAACAUAAAAGAAGUGGAAGAAAUAACUCAAAUUGAAAGAAGACAACAACAACAACAACCACAACAACAUACCCAGUGAAAUCCCACAAGUGGGGUCUGGGGAGGGUAGAAUGUACGCAGACCUUACCACUACCUAAGUAGAGAGACUGUUUCCGAGGAACCCUCAUCUCAAAUUGAAAGAAGAAUAAAUAAGAAAUUCUUCCAAAGUACUUUGCAGUACUACAAAGAGACGUAAUAGUACAGAUGCAAAUUCAACUCAAUACAUUAUCAAACUUAAGUCAGGUCAGCUUACAGGCACCUCGACUAAUUUCACGAGAUACUUGCUAUCUCCCACCAAUACUAAUAUCGGAUAACUCUGUCCAUCAAAGUUUGGACAAAAGGGAAAAGCCACCCGUAUUUCCGCAGUCACUAAAUUUUAAUUUUGAGACCUCAUGAUUCUCAUUCCAACACUGAUAAUUAUGCAAAAGUGUAAUACAAAAAGGAAUUAAAUUCUAUGACGAUCACAAUAAUAACUUUUUCUUGUAUUACUAUAGUUAACCGAAAUAGCAAGUUAUUACUCAAUCUUUCAAGUUCACUUAUAUCAGACUUGUUACGAAGAGUGGAAUACUUAUUGUAGAUCAAUGUAACUUUAUAAUGUUAAAAUAUAUAUACACAUUGUUAGUACGCAGAACUUAAACUCAAAAGAAAAUAAAGAAAACUGAAAACACGGACUUGUACUUUUUGAAUUAGUAGUAGUGCAUGUCAAGUCUCGGCAAGAAAUCUCUUUUAUAAUCUUAUGGGGUACUGAUCGAAAAUGAUAGAAAAUAAUUUUUAAUAACUCAUUUCAUGAAUUGAUGCUUCUGAAAUAAAUAAUGAAAAGAUAUCAGAAUAAAAAAUAAUUGUCAAACUUAUUUUUAAAUAUCACAAAAUACACUCAGAUUUGGUGGAACAAUUUGAUGUCAAAGAAAAUGUUGGUAUUCUAAGUUUCUAUAACAUCAUUUCUAGCUGGCAACAAAUAAUUUGAAGCCAGCAACAACCAGCAUACAUACUUAUAAUUUAUAAACUAUCUAUCCAUCACAGUAUCAAGGGUUAUUUGUGCUUUUAAUUAUCAAGGUUAUUGCACGAGCCGAUUAGAGUUUCAAAAAGAAAAUAAAACAAAGUGGGGGAACCAAGGAUCAUAAUAGGGGGAUUCAGAAGAGAACAAAAGUAUAAUACUUAGGUUUCAAACAUGUUGAGCAUGUUGCAUAGCGCGUUUUGGUAAAAGCCAAUAUGAGAUUCAGACAAUGACAUAGUAAUGCACCUUAGCAUUUACCAGUGAUAAACGCAUCAACAUCAGUCUGUUUUUUACCAGCCAGCUCGUGUCCACGACAUGAAUAUACAUAUCCUGACCUGCUACAGAUCAACUGACAAGUAAAGCAGGGGAAGAAAGAUUAAUUGAUUUGGCUAAAUAAAUCAAAGUUGUUGUAGUUAUUUGUAAAUGCAGAACACUACAUAAUUCAAUAUCACCAAAUAUGUGCACUAGUGUAUUUUAUUCUAUUUAUUUAUUUUUUAAACAAUGAAUCUUCUAAGUUUUGUAGGGUGAAACAGAGAUAUGCUUAUCAGCCCAAACCCUGGUUAUUGAAAAUAAAAUGGCGAGAGUGGAAAUAUUAAAAAUAGCACUUUCUUUCCCUUAAGUCACUACAUGGCAUGUGUUUUUGUGUGCACAUUCAUAUGUAGUGUGUUCUCAUAGCAGGUAAAAACUACUUGAUUAAAAAAAAUAAUGUGGAAACAUUCAAACUGACACAGAGAUGGACUUUAAUAAAUAAGAUGAGAACUUGUAGAUCCAGCAGUUGAGAGUUAUUAACAUUUUUUUUUACAAUUGAACAGGUCCUUUAGACAGCUCUUUAACAACAAUUAUUUUAUCAAGAAAUUUUACUAUAAAUACAUUGGCCAAUGAAUCCAAAAAAGGCAUCACUUCUCAGCUGAAAAACUAAAAGUUGUCUCCUUUCUUCUUCCCCUAACUAGCCAAACACAUUUAGGCGGCUAGGUGGUGUAACUUUCCGGCGAAAUGAGGCUUCACAAUGGCGGCCCUACCAAGGGUCGUCAGUAUUUGCCACAAAUUUUAGUGGCAUUGGCCAUAUUGGCUGUUGCUAAUGUAGUGUCGGCAGACCCUUAUGUAUACUCUUCUCCACCACCUCCAACGUACGAGUACAAGUCACCUCCGCAUCCUUCUCCUUCUCCACCACCACCUUAUGUCUACAAAUCUCCACCUACUCCCUCACCCUCUGCUCCGCCUCCAUAUGUUUACAAGUCACCUCCUCCUCCUCCUCCUCCUCCAUCACCACCUCCUCCAUAUGUGUAUACAUCUCCACCCCCACCAUCACCAUCUCCACCACCACCAUAUGUAUAUAAGUCCCCACCACCUCCAUCACCGUCUCCACCACCACCCUAUGUGUAUAAGUCUCCACCACCUCCAUCGCCAUCUCCACCUCCACCAUAUUACUACAAGUCUCCUCCUCCGCCAUCACCUUCACCACCACCUCCAUAUUACUACAAGUCUCCACCUCCACCCUCACCAUCACCUCCACCACCAUACUAUUACAAAUCUCCACCACCGCCCUCACCAUCACCACCUCCACCAUAUUAUUAUAAGUCUCCACCACCACCUUCUCCUUCACAACCUCCAGCAUACUAUUACAAAUCUCCACCACCUCCUUCACCUUCUCCUCCACCACCUUAUUACUAUAAGUCUCCACCUCCUCCAUCACCAUCACCACCACCACCAUACUAUUACAAGUCUCCUCCUCCACCAUCUCCAUCACCACCCCCACCUUACUAUUACAACUCUCCACCACCACUGGUUAAAUCACCUCCUCCCCCGUACUAUUACAGUUCUCCUCCACCACCAAUGAAGUCUCCCCCUCCACCAUUUUACUAUUCCUCACCACCACUGCCAAAGAAAUUACCUCCCCAACCAUAUCACUACACUUCUCCACCACCACCUAUUAAGUCAUCACCUCCUCCAUGCUACUACUCCUCACCGCCACCACCCAAGAAAUCACCUCCUCCACCAUAUCACUACAAUUCCCCACCACCACCAGUUAAGUCACCUCCAACUCUGUACUAUUACAAGUCUCCACCACCACCACCACCACCAAAGAAGUCUUCUCCCCCACCGUACUAUACUUCACCACCACCGACUCAUUACUAUACUCCACAUCAUCAAUUUGUAGUUAAAGUUGUCGGAAAAGUCUAUUGUCUUAGAUGCCAUAAUUGGAAGUACCCAGAAAUGUCUCAUGGCAAGAAACACCUUAAAGGUACCAUAGUCUAUAUAGUUUAUAAUAUAUUCUUUAUUUUCUUUUAAUUUAUCAUCACAAAAUUAUUAACUAUACUUUUUUUUUGUUGCUUUGUUCAUUACUUCAUUCUGCUCUUAUCAGAAUUCAUAUAUAAAUGUAUGUGUUUUAAUUUGGACCUUUGAUCCAUUUUUGUUUUCAAAAUGUGAAAUUAAAAUUUAAAAUUUUAAAAUGUCAAGAAGUUUUACAAGGCAACAACUAAAAAUAUAAUUGUGACUAUAGAAUCAAAUAUAUUGAAAAUGGAACUAGGUAGUUCUUUCUUGGAACGAGAAGGUAUUAAUUUAUCCUCACAUUGGUAGACAAGAGUCCAAAUUGGCACACAAGUUCCUACAUUUACAUGCAAUUUAUUUCCUUUAUUAGAAAAAUAAAUUAUGAUCAUGUGAUGAAAAGGUAUGUUUUAUUCUAAAUUAUGGAUUAAUUAAUGCUUUUUUUUUAAAUGGGUUAGGUGCUGUUGUUGAAGUGACUUGCAAGGCUGGUGACAAGAAAAUUGUGAGCUAUGGUACCACUAAGAACAAUGGCAAAUUUAGCAUCACAGUUGAAGGAUUUGAAUAUAGCAAAUAUGGAGCAAAGGCUUGCAAGGCUAAACUCCACAACGCUCCAAAGGAUUCAAAGUGUAGCAUUCCUACAAACCUUCAUUGGGGAAUUAAGGGUGCUAACCUCAAACUGAAGUCAAAGAAUAAAUAUGAAGUUGUCCUCUAUGCAAAACCAUUUGCAUAUGGCUCUAAGACACCUUAUGCGGAAUGCCAAAAGCCAAAGCCUACACCUGCACCAUACUACUAUAAAUCUCCUCUACCUCCAUCACCAAUUUAUGCUUAUAAGUCACCACCUCCUCCAUCACCAAAGUAUGUGUACAAGUCACCACCUCCCCCAACCCCAACAUACAUUUAUAAAUCUCCACCACCACCUGCUUACUAUUACAAAUCUCCACCACCACCAAAAAAGUCUCCACCACAUUAUUAUUACAAAUCUCCACCUCCACCAUCACCAAAACCUGCACCGGUAUACUAUUAUAAAUCACCACCACCACCAUCACCAAAACCUGCACCGGUAUACUAUUAUAAAUCACCACCACCACCAUCACCAAAACCUGCACCUGUAUACUAUUAUAAAUCACCACCACCACCAGCACCUUCUCCCCCACCUCCUUACUACUAUAAGUCUCCUCCACCACCAUCACCAAAACCUGCACCUGUGUAUUACUACAAAUCACCACCACCACCAUCACCUUCUCCCCCACCUCCUUACUACUAUAAGUCUCCUCCACCACCAUCACCAUCUCCUCCUCCACCAUACUAUUACAAGUCUCCACCACCACCAUCGCCAUCACCCCCACCACCUUACUACUAUAAGUCCCCUCCUCCACCAUCUCCAUCACCACCCCCACCCUACUACUACAAGUCUCCUCCACCACCAUCACCAUCUCCUCCACCUCCAUACUACUACAAGUCUCCUCCACCUCCAUACUACUACAAGUCUCCUCCACCUCAAUCGCCAUCUCCCCCUCCACCGUACUACUACAAGUCACCACCACCACCAUCGCCAUCUCCUCCACCACCCUACUACUACAAGUCUCCUCCACCGCCAUCCCCCUCACCACCCCCACCCUACUACUACAAGUCGCCUCCUCCACCAUCACCUUCUCCACCACCUCCAUACUACUAUCACUCUCCACCUCCACCCGUAAAGUCUCCUCCUCCUCCCUAUUAC